UGCCUUGGCAUGGGGAUAACGUUGGAAACGACGCUAAUACCGCAUAUCGCAUAGGGACCGCAUGAUUCUUAUGCAAAAGAUUUAUUGUGCUAAGAUGGGCUCGCGUCCCAUUAGAUAGUUGGUGAGAUAACAGCCCACCAAGGCGACGAUCGGUAGCCGACCUGAGAGAGUGAACGGCCACAUUGGGACUGAGACACGGCCCCAAAACUCCUACGGGGAGGCAGCAGUGGGGGAAUAUUGCACAAUGGGGGAAACCCCUGAUGCAGCGACGCCGACGUGAGUGAAGAAGUAUUUCGGUAUGUAAAGCUCUAUCAGCAGGGAAGAAAAUUGACGGUACCUGACUAAGAAGCCCCGGCUAACUACGUG
rnacentral:rRNA from 1 species